GGUUAAGCGACUAAGCGUACACGGUGGAUGCCCUGGCAGUCAGAGGCGAUGAAGGACGUGCUAAUCUGCGAAAAGCGUCGGUAAGGUGAUAUGAACCGUUACAGCCGGCGAUGUCCGAAUGGGGAAACCCAGUGCAAUUCGUUGCACUAUCGUUAACUGAAUACAUAGGUUAACGAGGCGAACCGGGGGAACUGAAACAUCUAAGUACCCCGAGGAAAAGAAAUCAACCGAGAUUCCCCCAGUAGCGGCGAGCGAACGGGGAGCAGCCCAGAGUCUGAAUCAGCUUGUGUGUUAGUGGAACGGUCUGGAAAGUCCGACGGUACAGGGUGAUAGUCCCGUACACCAAAAUGCACAGGCUGUGAACUCGAAGAGUAGGGCGGGACACGUGGUAUCCUGUCUGAAUAUGGGGGGACCAUCCUCCAAGGCUAAAUACUCCUGACUGACCGAUAGUGAACCAGUACCGUGAGGGAAAGGCGAAAAGAACCCCGGCGAGGGGAGUGAAAAAGAACCUGAAACCGUGUACGUACAAGCAGUGGGAGCACCUUCGGGUGUGACUGCGUACCUUUUGUAUAAUGGGUCAGCGACUUAUAUUCUGUAGCAAGGUUAACCGUAUAGGGGAGCCGCAGGGAAACCGAGUCUUAACUGGGCGUUAAGUUGCAGGGUAUAGACCCGAAACCCGGUGAUCUAGCCAUGGGCAGGUUGAAGGUUGGGUAACACUAACUGGAGGACCGAACCGACUAAUGUUGAAAAAUUAGCGGAUGACUUGUGGCUGGGGGUGAAAGGCCAAUCAAACCGGGAGAUAGCUGGUUCUCCCCGAAAGCUAUUUAGGUAGCGCCUCGUGAAUUCAUCUUCGGGGGUAGAGCACUGUUUCGGCUAGGGGGUCAUCCCGACUUACCAACCCGAUGCAAACUACGAAUACCGAAGAAUGUUAUCACGGGAGACACACGGCGGGUGCUAACGUCCGUCGUGAAGAGGGAAACAACCCAGACCGCCAGCUAAGGUCCCAAAGUCAUGGUUAAGUGGGAAACGAUGUGGGAAGGCACAGACAGCCAGGAUGUUGGCUUAGAAGCAGCCAUCAUUUAAAGAAAGCGUAAUAGCUCACUGGUCGAGUCGGCCUGCGCGGAAGAUGUAACGGGGCUAAACCAUGCACCGAAGCUGCGGCAGCGACACUAUGUGUUGUUGGGUAGGGGAGCGUUCUGUAAGCCUGCGAAGGUGUGCUGUGAGGCAUGCUGGAGGUAUCAGAAGUGCGAAUGCUGACAUAAGUAACGAUAAAGCGGGUGAAAAGCCCGCUCGCCGGAAGACCAAGGGUUCCUGUCCAACGUUAAUCGGGGCAGGGUGAGUCGACCCCUAAGGCGAGGCCGAAAGGCGUAGUCGAUGGGAAACAGGUUAAUAUUCCUGUACUUGGUGUUACUGCGAAGGGGGGACGGAGAAGGCUAUGUUAGCCGGGCGACGGUUGUCCCGGUUUAAGCAUGUAGGCUGGUUAUCCAGGCAAAUCCGGAUAAUCAAGGCUGAGGUGUGAUGACGAGGCACUACGGUGCUGAAGUAACAAAUGCCCUGCUUCCAGGAAAAGCCUCUAAGCAUCAGGUAACAUCAAAUCGUACCCCAAACCGACACAGGUGGUCAGGUAGAGAAUACCAAGGCGCUUGAGAGAACUCGGGUGAAGGAACUAGGCAAAAUGGUGCCGUAACUUCGGGAGAAGGCACGCUGGUGUGUAGGUGAAGUCCCUGCGGAUGGAGCUGAGACCAGUCGAAGAUACCAGCUGGCUGCAACUGUUUAUUAAAAACACAGCACUGUGCAAACACGAAAGUGGACGUAUACGGUGUGACGCCUGCCCGGUGCCGGAAGGUUAAUUGAUGGGGUUAUCCGUAAGGAGAAGCUCUUGAUCGAAGCCCCGGUAAACGGCGGCCGUAACUAUAACGGUCCUAAGGUAGCGAAAUUCCUUGUCGGGUAAGUUCCGACCUGCACGAAUGGCGUAAUGAUGGCCAGGCUGUCUCCACCCGAGACUCAGUGAAAUUGAACUCGCUGUGAAGAUGCAGUGUACCCGCGGCAAGACGGAAAGACCCCGUGAACCUUUACUAUAGCUUGACACUGAACAUUGAGCCUUGAUGUGUAGGAUAGGUGGGAGGCUUUGAAGCGUGGACGCCAGUCUGCGUGGAGCCAACCUUGAAAUACCACCCUUUAAUGUUUGAUGUUCUAACGUUGGCCCCUUACCGGGGUUGCGGACAGUGUCUGGUGGGUAGUUUGACUGGGGCGGUCUCCUCCCAAAGCGUAACGGAGGAGCACGAAGGUUAGCUAAUCCUGGUCGGACAUCAGGAGGUUAGUGCAAUGGCAUAAGCUAGCUUGACUGCGAGCGUGACGGCGCGAGCAGGUGCGAAAGCAGGUCAUAGUGAUCCGGUGGUUCUGAAUGGAAGGGCCAUCGCUCAACGGAUAAAAGGUACUCCGGGGAUAACAGGCUGAUACCGCCCAAGAGUUCAUAUCGACGGCGGUGUUUGGCACCUCGAUGUCGGCUCAUCACAUCCUGGGGCUGAAGUAGGUCCCAAGGGUAUGGCUGUUCGCCAUUUAAAGUGGUACGCGAGCUGGGUUUAGAACGUCGUGAGACAGUUCGGUCCCUAUCUGCCGUGGGCGCUGGAGAAUUGAGGGGGGCUGCUCCUAGUACGAGAGGACCGGAGUGGACGCAUCACUGGUGUUCGGGUUGUCAUGCCAAUGGCACUGCCCGGUAGCUAAAUGCGGAAGAGAUAAGUGCUGAAAGCAUCUAAGCACGAAACUUGCCCCGAGAUGAGUUCUCCCUGAGACUUUAAGUCUCCUGAAGGAACGUU
rnacentral:rRNA from 1 species